GGGCGCAGCUUUAUACGACCGCAGAGGUUGAACCCUGAACGGUUGGGGCAAGUAUGGACACAACAUUCAAGCUGGAUUCAGCUCUAAAUUUGGAUUGCGAUUAAAUAGUUGACACAGCAUAGGUUUCUGACACAGAAUGAAUGUGGUCUAAUGAACUUAAAAUAGUUUUUUUUCUUUUGAGCAAUUCACUAUGCUGUUGAAUAUUAAUCCUCUCAAAAAAAUCUUUGAAGAAAUU
rnacentral:lncRNA from 1 species